AUGGGAAAAUAUCAGUCUGGAGCUACAGACACAUUUUGCCAGCAUGAGCUGAAAGAGUUCAGACCAAUUCAUCCCCAUGGGCAGAAUCAGGGACACCCUCCUGGACACCCAGAUCCUCUGGUACCACCCUCACCACUGCAAUCACCACGAAAAACUGCACCAGAAAUAGGUGGCCCUGCCCCUGAUGUUUUUGUGAUGAUAUCAACUUUGGCUUACCUCCUCCCUUCUUUCUUGAAAUUUGAGGUAGGUCAUGUUCAUUUCCACUUCCAGAGUACUUGCCUAAAAGAGGUAUUCAGUGAAUAAUUGUAUAAUGAAUAAAUAAAAGAAAGAAUGAAUGAAUGAACAUAUGAGUGUCUUCUAGUUGGUCAGGAGACUUUAAUAGAGUGAGAAAAGAGAGUUGUUUCUCCAGAGACCUACCUGCUAUGAGAUCUAAGUUAUACUAAAGUCCUCUCUGAGCUGACAAAGGAUUGUUAUUUUUAAAUCUCUCUUCACCCAGACCACAGCUGAACUGGCCACACCCAUGGGAUACAAACCAAUCUCCCGUUACAGAAAAACAAAUCUGACCCAGCCAUUCUCUGCUUAAAACAACUUUCAGUGAUGUUUUUGACAGGAGUGGGUGGAAGGGAGUGAGCAUUUGCAUUUAGAGAACAUUCCCUGUUAAAGAAUGUUCAUUUGCUUAUUGACUGACUCAUUAGGCAAGCAAUGAAUUAGCACCUACUAUGUGCGGGCACUACACGUUACUCCAUCCUCACAGCAACCUCUUUCUUAGGGCAAUGUAUUUGUUACCUGUUACUAUGUAACUCAUUACCCUAAACCCAGGGGCUAAAACAACAAACAUUUGUUAUCGCACAGGAAUCCAGGUGCAGUCAAGCCAGGGCCGCAGUCACGUCAAGGCUCCACUGGAGCAGAAGGAUCCAUUUCCAAAUGCAUUCACAGGGUUGUUGUGAGGCCUUAGCUCAAGCUUGUCCAGGCUGUGGUCUGCAGGCUGCCUGUAGCCCACGAUGGCUUUGAAUGAGUCUCAGGACGGUUUUGAAUCCGGCCCAACACAAAUUCUUAAACUUUCUUAAAACAUUAUGAGAUUUUUUUUGUGAUUUUUAUAUAUUUAUUAUUAUUAUUUUUAGCUCAUCAGCUAUUGUUCGUGUUAGUGUAUUUUAUGUGUGGCCCAAGACAAUUUUUUCUUCUUCCAGUGUGGCCCAGGGAAGCCAAAAGAUUGGAUAUCCCUGCCUUAGAAGAAUCACGUGCAAACUCACCCACAGGGGCUUUUCCUUAGGACUGCCUCACAGCAUGGAAGCCAGCUUCUCCAGGACGACUGAUCCAAGAGACAGCAAGAGAGUGUCCAAGACAGAAGUCACCAUCUCUUGGUAACCUCAUCUCAGAAGCAACAUGCUCAUCCCCUCUGCCACAUUUUGUGCAUUAGAAAUGAGUCAUUAAGUCCAGCCUACACUUGAAGGGAGGAAAUUACAUAAGGGUAUGAGUACCAAGAGGUGGGUUAAUUGGGGCAAUUUCAGAGGCUACCUGCCACAGGUAAGUUAUUAUUAUCCUUCAUUUCAUACCUAGACACCCAGCUAGUUAAGCAGCUGGUCCAGGUCACCCAGCAGAGAGUGAUCUGAGUCCAAAGUGGUUUUCUAUUCCCCAGGCUGGUAGGGGUGUGAGAUGGAGGAAGGCAGGGAGAAGUUACUUGCAGGAAAAAAAAAUUAGGAUGAUGUCUCUGUUAUUUAUCUAACUAGCUAAAUUAAUAACUCUGUUAUUUAUCUAACUAGUAUCUUUAGCUAUGUAACUAAUUACCAACAACUUAAUGGCUUAAAGCAAACAUUUAUUAUCUUAUAGUUCCUAUGGAUCAGGAAUUUGGUGACAACUGAGCUGAGUGGUUGUCAGUCUCCUAUGAGGCUGUGGUUCAGCUGUGGGCUGGGGAUGCUGCUUUGAAGACCUAACCAGGGCUGAGGCGCUACUUCCAAGAGACUCCAUUCACAUAGCUGCUGGUGGGAGGCUUCCUUCUUCACCACGCAGACACCUCGAGCUUCUUUAGGACAGGGCAGCUGGCUUCCCCCAGAACAGGUGAUUCAAGAGCAGAUAAGCAAAGCCUGAGUGUCUUUUGUGACGUAGCCUCAGGAGUCAUAACUGUCAUUUCUGCAAUAUCCUGUUGAUUACACAGGAUAGGUCAGUCCUAUUCACUGUGGGAGGUGAUUACAGAAGGGCAUGGGAAUACCAGGAGAUCAGGAUCACUGGAGGCUGACUAUUUACCACAGGGUUCCACAAGGUUGAUAACCUGAAAACUUAACUUUUAUCGCUGCUUCCCUGCUCAAAGAGACCCAGAGCCUUCCCAUGUACUACAGCACACAAUCUGAUUUUCUUAGCUCCAUCUCCCACUGGCUCCUGAGUGGAUGGACUGUCUGGGACUGACAGCCUGGUCUGCUAAUGGACCUCACCAGUCCCACAGCUGAGGCUCUUGUUGAUACCUCCCCUCCCAUCCUCUGUUCUGUGGGAAGGCCUGGCUCCCUGGGAAGCCUCCAUUCAGCAUUCAAAGCAUAGUUAGCCAGGAUCUGGCUGGAUGCUAGGAUAUGAUGGUGAUAUCACCUUCUCUCAGGGAACUUUCACUCAGAUAGAGAGGUAGUUACCAGCGAAUUAAUAAUAAACAAAUCACACAUCAUGCCAAGUUCUCCCAGGGAAACCUACAGGGUACCAUGGGAUUAUAUAAUAGGGGACUGGCCUAGUCCAUGAGCACUGGAGCAGUCAAGUAGCCAACCAGGCUGCAUAGGAGUAUCAGCAUUGGGUUUAGUGUUAAGUGUCUGAAAAUGCAAAAUAACAAUAGCUUAAGUAAGACAGAUGUUUAUUUCUCUUGGGCAGGUGUUUGAGGUGCCACUCAGAGACAGGAACUCAGGUUCUUUCUGUCUCGUUGCUCUGCUCUGUAUGGCCUCUAUCUUAUGGUCCAGGAUGAUGACACCUACAAUCCUGGCAGCCAAAUGGAGAAAGGGACACAGAGGGUAAAGCAGACAUACCAACUAUCCCAGACUAUGGAAUGAGUGGAAAAGUGAAGGAGUCUGAUUGAGUUGUUUUCACAAGCAUUAAUGAAAGGAUUAAAUUGAUGUGUAUGAGUGCAACAGAAUCUGUUGUAAUUUCUCUUUAAAUAAAGCUGUCUUUGGGGAAAACGAGACACUUCCCUUCACUUUUCAAUGCCACCUCUAGCUACAAAGGAAGCUGGGAAAUGUAACUUUCUUUUUUUGUUUUGAGACGGUGUUUUGCUCUUACUGCCCAGGCUGGAGUGCAGUGGCACGAUCUUUACUCACUGCAAUCUCUGCCUCCCGGGUUCAAGCGAUCCUCCUGCCUCAGCCUUCCAAGUAGCUGGGUUUACAGACAUGUACCACCACACCCGGCUA
rnacentral:lncRNA from 1 species